CCAGACUCCUACGGGAGGCAGCAGUGGGGGAUAUUGCACAAUGGGGGGAACCCUGAUGCAGCGACGCCGCGUGGGUGAAGAAGCGCCUCGGCGCGUAAAGCCCUGUCAGCAGGGAAGAAAAUGACGGUACCUGAAGAAGAAGCCCCGGCUAACUACGUGCCAGCAGCCGCGGUAAUACGUAGGGGGCAAGCGUUAUCCGGAUUUACUGGGUGUAAAGGGGGCGCAGACGGCGAUGCAAGCCAGGAGUGAAAACCCGGGGCCCAACCCCGGGACCGCACCGGAUACUGCCGGACUCGAGUGCCGGAGGGGCAGGCGGAAUUCCUGGUGUAGCGGUGAAAUGCGCAGAUAUCAGGAGGAACACCGGUGGCGAAGGCGGCCUGCUGGACGGUAACUGACGCUGAGGCUCGAAAGCGUGGGGAGCGAACAGGAUUAGAUACCCGGGUAG
rnacentral:rRNA from 1 species